UUAAACCUGAGUAGCUCAAGUCAAGUGGGACAGUGAAAAAGGUGGUUAGACAGCCUGUUUGUCUAUGUUAGGUAGAGAAGAUCGACCCGAGAGAUUAGGGGUGCAAUCUUAUGUAAUUUCUUGAGGGAGGGGAGGAUUCUUCUUUGGGUUGAGUCCACGGAGCCGGUUAGCCGAAGACAUGGAUUAGAUACCCAUUUAUUGCCGGUGUAAACUUUGCUUAUCAGUGCAGCUGCUUGGGUACUACGAGCGAGUGCUUAAAACUCAAAGAACUUGGCGGCUUGUUAACUACCUAGGGGAAUAUGCGCCUUAAUCCGAUGGUCCCCGCAACAUCUUACUGGAUCUUGAAAGAGUGCAGUCGGUGUAUUGCCGUUGUCAGCUUGUUGUUCGAGCAAAGAAAAACAGGCUUAAUGGGUCUCUAGGGAUUAGGUUCGUGAGAAUCCAUGAAUUCAGGUCGUAAUGCUGCCUACGGUCCAAGGGAGUGGGUAUUACAAUUUAUAUUUAAAACUACGGAUCUUUAUUGUGAAAUUUUAGGGAAGAAGGUGAACUUAGGAGUAAGGGAAGAUUAAUAUGCUACUCUGAACGUGAAUCUAACUUGUGUACAAACUGCCCGUCGCUCUCGGUGAGAACUGAGAUAAGUCGUAACAA
rnacentral:rRNA from 1 species